GACGAACGCUGGCGGCGUGCUUAACACAUGCAAGUCGAACGGAGUGCUCAUGACAGAGGUUUUGGCCAAUGGAUUGAGUUACUUAGUGGCGGACUGGUGAGUAACGCGUGAGGAACCUGCCUUUCAGAGGGGGACAACAGCUGGAAACGGCUGCUAAUACCGCAUGACGCAUGACUGGGGCUAUCCCGGACAUGCCAAAGAUUUUAUCGCUGAAAGAUGGCCUCGCGUCUGAUUAGCUGGUUGGUGAGGUAACGGCCCACCAACGGCGACGAUCAGUAGGGGUUCUGAGAGGAAGGUCCCCCACAUUGGAACUGAGACACGGUCCAA
rnacentral:rRNA from 1 species